UGAGCACCUAUUUCAAAGGCAGGGGAAGUGUAUGUUAUGGUGUUGGAGAAGGUCCUGAGAGCAAAGGAGCUCAGAGGGGAAACUGAGGUAUUGUGGUGUGCUACUCAUGGUGUGCAUCAGCCUUCCUGUAAGGGUACUGUACAAGUGCCAGUGUCGUCAGCAGGGCUGCUUGCAGUCAGGUGCUACUCUGCUUCAAUGCGAGCAGUCCACAUUGUCCCACUAACAUGUAGGGAGAACAGCUUCAGGGACCUGAUCCAGAGGCAAUGGAAAGACACCCAUGGAAUUUGGAGCAGGCCCCAACUGAGAAGAGAAUUCAGCCACUAAAGUCCAG